rnacentral:piRNA from 1 species
CUGUAGGCCUGUAGGCCC